rnacentral:lncRNA from 1 species
CCAUUAACUGAACUAGAGAUUGCUUUGAAAGAUAAGCUUAUUACCGAGAUGUUAGCAAGUUGGUUUGAGUUUAUGUAUCUUAACCUUGGUCCUUAUCACGAGUCUGUAUGAAAUGCAAUUUAGUUUGGUUCUCCUUAUCACGAGUCUGUAUGCAUUUGUUUAUGUUCUGGUCAAGUUUGUAUGAAAUGCAAGUUAUGUUUCUCGAGUCUGUAUAAUAUGCAAGUUUUAAUGUAUAAUAUUGGUUUAUGAAAUGCAAGUUAUGUUUAUCUUCAUUGCUCAAGUUUCAAGUUUCAAGUUAGUUUGGUACUCCUUAUCACGAGUCUGUUGUUUUUUCUUGUUACUGAUUGUGUAGUAGCAUGUAACUGAUGCUCAAUACGUUUGUAAAUGAUGGUUAGGAUUGUAACUGAUUGUGAUAAGAGAUGGCUCGUGUUGUAACUGAUUGUGACAAGAGAUGGCUCGUCUUUUGGUUUUGCAGGACAAGAGGACAAGAAAGAAGUCAGUAGCAUGUGAAGCCAAGAAAGGGGUGGCAUGUGACACCCAAGUGCAGCCAAGAAGAAGCCAGUGGCAUGUGACAAACAAGAAGAAGUCAGUAGCAUGUGACACCAAAAGACAAAAAGAAGAAGUCGUAGCAUGUGAUACAAAAGUGCCAUAUGUUUCCUUUUUUCCUAUAUAAUGACCUGAUGUUAUCAAAAACAUAUUGUGCCAUACGUUUUCUCUAAGUAAAGAUUUGAGUUACUUUGCCUCUCUUACCAUUUCUCUCUUACCAUUUCUCUCUUGCCAUUUCUCUCUUUCCAUUUCUCUCUUGCCAUUUCUUUUUAAAAUGGCUCCUUCUUCCUCGGAUAAUUUUGAAGUGUAUCUUAACCUUGGUCCUUAUCACGAGUCUGUAUGAAAUGCAAUUUAGUUUGGUUCUCCUUAUCACGGGUCUGUAUGCAUUUGUUUAUGUUCUGGUCAAGUUUGUAUGAAAUGCAAGUUAUGUUUCUCGAGUCUGUAUAAUAUGCAAG